AUUGAACGCUGGCGGCAUGCUUUACACAUGGAAGUCGAACGGUAACAGGCCUUCGGGUGCUGACGAGUGGCGAACGGGUGAGUAAUGCAUCGGAACGUACCCAGAGGUGGGGGAUAACGCAGCGAAAGCUGUGCUAAUACCGCAUGUGAUCUGAGGAUGAAAGCGGGGGACCGAGCAGCAAUGUUUGGCCUCGCGCCUUUGGAGCGGCCGAUGUCGGAUUAGCUAGUUGGUGGGGUAAAGGCCUACCAAGGCGACGAUCCGUAGCUGGUCUGAGAGGACGACCAGCCACACUGGGACUGAGACACGGCCCAGACUCCUACGGGAGGCAGCAGUGGGGAAUUUUGGACAAAGGGCGCAAGCCUGAUCCAGCAAUGCCGCGUGCGGGAAGAAGGCCUUCGGGUUGUAAACCGCUUUUGGCAGGAACGAAACGGUGUCCGCUAAUACCGGGCGCUAAUGACGGUACCUGCAGAAUAAGCACCGGCUAACUACGUG
rnacentral:rRNA from 1 species